UUUAGAGUUUUGAUUCCCGCUCAGGACGAACGCUGGCGGCGUGCCUAAUACAUGCAAGUCGAACGCUUCUUUUCCCACCGGAGCUUGCUCCACCGGGAAAAGAGGAGUGGCGAACGGGUGAGUAACACGUGGGUAACCUGCCCAUCAGAAGGGGAUAACACUUGGAAACAGGUGCUAAUACCGUAUAACAAUCGAAACCGCAUGGUUUCGUUUUGAAAGGCGCUUUACGGUGCCGCUGAUGGAUGGACCCGCGGUGCAUUAGCUAGUUGGUGAGGUAACGGCUCACCAAGGCCACGAUGCAUAGCCGACCUGAGAGGGUGAUCGGCCACAUUGGGACUGAGACACGGCCCAAACUCCUACGGGAGGCAGCAGUAGGGAAUCUUCGGCAAUGGACGAAAGUCUGACCGAGCAACGCCGCGUGAGUGAAGAAGGUUUUCGGAUCGUAAAACUCUGUUGUUAGAGAAGAACAAGGGUGAGAGUAACUGUUCACCCCUUGACGGUAUCUAACCAGAAAGCCACGGCUAACUACGUGCCAGCAGCCGCGGUAAUACGUAGGUGGCAAGCGUUGUCCGGAUUUAUUGGGCGUAAAGCGAGCGCAGGCGGUUUCUUAAGUCUGAUGUGAAAGCCCCNGGCUCAACCGGGGAGGGUCAUGGAAACUGGGAGACUGAGGC
rnacentral:rRNA from 1 species